UUUUGUAUAGUUUAAAGUAAAACUCUUUAUUUUCAUUAAAAAAAUGACUAACUUUAGUCUAUAAAAU
rnacentral:tRNA from 1 species